AGAGUUUGAUCAUGGCUCAGAACGAACGCUGGCGGCAGGCUUAACACAUGCAAGUCGAACGCACUCUUCGGAGUGAGUGGCAGACGGGUGAGUAACGCGUGGGAACGUACCUUUCGGUUCGGAAUAACCCAGGGAAACUUGGGCUAAUACCGGAUACGCCCUUACGGGGAAAGAUUUAUCGCCGAAAGAUCGGCCCGCGUCGGAUUAGCUAGUUGGUGGGGUAACGGCCUACCAAGGCGACGAUCCGUAGCUGGUCUGAGAGGAUGAUCAGCCACACUGGGACUGAGACACGGCCCAGACUCCUACGGGAGGCAGCAGUGGGGAAUAUUGGACAAUGGGCGAAAGCCUGAUCCAGCCAUGCCGCGUGAGUGAAGAAGGCCUUAGGGUUGUAAAGCUCUUUCAGCGGGGACGAUAAUGACGGUACCCGCAGAAGAAGCCCCGGCUAACUUCGUGCCAGCAGCCGCGGUAAUACGAAGGGGGCUAGCGUUGUUCGGAAUUACUGGGCGUAAAGCGCGCGUAGGCGGACCAUUAAGUCAGAGGUGAAAUCCCAGGGCUCAACCCUGGAACUGCCUUUGAUACUGGAGGUCUGGAGUUCGGGAGAGGUGAGUGGAAUUCCGAGUGUAGAGGUGAAAUUCGUAGAUAUUCGGAGGAACACCAGAAGCGAAGGCGGCUCACUGGCCCGAUACUGACGCUGAGGCCGCGAAAGCGUGGGGAGCAAACAGGAUUAGAUACCCUAGUAGUCC
rnacentral:rRNA from 1 species